GCCUCCUUGGCUCAGUUGGCUAGAGCGCGAGUCUCAUACUUACGGUAUGAGAGUGAUUAGUCAUCUGGCAAUCUCGAGGUCGCAAGUUCGAGCCUUGCAGGGGGGCA